UAUCUGCUUUUUCUGCACUGUGGGU
rnacentral:piRNA from 1 species